rnacentral:rRNA from 1 species
UACAGAGGGUGCGAGCGUUGUCCGGAAUCACUGGGCGUAAAGGGCGCGUAGGUGGCCCGACAAGUCUGUGGUGAAAGCUCGACGCUCAACGUCGAGUCGGCCAUAGAUACUGUUGGGCUGGAGCACUGUAGAGGCUCAUGGAAUUCCGGGUGUAGCGGUGGAAUGCGUAGAGAUCCGGAAGAACACCGGUGGCGAAGGCGGUGAGCUGGGCAGAUACUGACACUGAGGCGCGACAGCGUGGGGAGCAAACAGG